rnacentral:rRNA from 1 species
GACGAACGCUGGCGGCGUGCUUAACACAUGCAAGUCGAACGGAAAGGCCCUGCUUUUGUGGGGUGCUCGAGUGGCGAACGGGUGAGUAACACGUGAGUAACCUGCCCUUGACUUUGGGAUAACUUCAGGAAACUGGGGCUAAUACCGGAUAGGAGCCCCUGCUGCAUGGAGGGGGUUGGAAAGUUUCGGCGGGUGGGGAUGGACUCGCGGCUUAUCAGCUUGUUGGUGGGGUAGUGGCUUACCAAGGCUUUGACGGGUAGCCGGCCCGAGAGGGUGACCGGCCACCUUGGGACUGAGAUACGGCCCAGACUCCUACGGGAGGCAGCAGUGGGGAAUAUUGCACAAUGGGCGGAAGCCUGAUGCAGCAACGCCGCGUGCGGGAUGACGGCCUUCGGGUUGUAAACCGCUUUCGCCUGUGACGAAGCGUGAGUGACGGUAAUGGGUAAAGAAGCACCGGCUAACUACGUG